CCUCCACGGUCGGAUCUCAUGGUU
rnacentral:siRNA from 1 species